CCUACGGGAGGCAGCAGUGAGGAAUAUUGGUCAAUGGACGAGAGUCUGAACCAGCCAAGUAGCGUGAAGGAUGACUGCCCUAUGGGUUGUAAACUUUUUUUAUGUGGGAAUAAAAUAUUCAAAGUAUGUGAUUUUGUAUUUACCAUAUGAAUAAGGAACGGCUAACCCCGUGCCAGCCGACGAGGUAAUACGGAGGAUACGAGCGUUAUCCGGAUUUAUUGGGUUUAAAGGGAGCGUAGGUGGAUUGUUAAGUCAGUUGUGAAAGUUUACGGCUCAACCGUAAAAUUGCAGUUGAAACUGGGAGUCUUGAGUACAGUAGAGGUGGGCGGAACUCGUGGUGUAGCGGUGAAAUGCUUAGAUAUCUCGAAGAACUCCGAUUGCGAAGGCAGUUGACUGGACUGCAACUGACACUGAGGCUCGAAAGUGUGGGUAUCAAACAGGAUUAGAUACCCGUGUAGUC
rnacentral:rRNA from 1 species